AUGCAUGAUAUGGUGCUUGAUCUUAUAUGCUCACUGUCAAGUGAUGAGAAUUUUAUCUCCAUAUUGGAUAAUGUUGGGUGGCAUGCACCUAAUCUGCAAAGGAAAUUUCGUAGGUUAUCACUUCAGAAUAUCAGGGCAAAAAUUCACAACCAUCAGUUUGAUAGCACUGUCCUGUCAAAAGUGAGGACCUUUGCUGUUUUUUCUACGAUUAGUUGUGAUUGGUUGCCAUCUCUCUCAAGCUUUCAGUUUUUACGUGUGCUGGACCUCGGAAAUUGUGGCAGUCAGAAAAGUAGUUCUGGUAUCAGCCUCAAGUAUGUUUGUGAUUUAAUUCACCUACGAUACUUGGGACUCCAGGAUACAAAUGUUAAUGAGCUCCCAAUGGACAUAGGCAAGUUGCAGCUUUUGCAGACACUGAACACACGAAGAAGUAAUAUAAAAGAACUACCCCCAAGUUUUGUUCGCCUAAGAAAUUUGAUAUGCUUACAUGUCGAUGGUGGCGUGAGCCUGCUAAAAGGAAUGAGCAACUUGAUGUCCCUCGAAGUGCUGUCUGGGAUACAAGUACCCUUGUCUCCUCACACUGUGAAAGAGCUGCGUCAUCUUACAGAGGUUCGGGAGCUCAGUUUUAAUUGUUUAGAGAUGGAACAGGAUCUGAUCAAUAUACUAAUCGAGUCUCUGGGCAACCUACACAAAUUGCAAGAACUGAGUAUUGGUUAUGGUGGCAAAUUGAUAGGGUGCAUGGGUGAAAGUUGGGUGCCCCCUCCACACCUCCGUGAGUUUAUCUCAUGGGACCCCUACCGAGAUGAUUUGUCCUGGAGACUUCCAAAGUGGAUUAAUUCAACGUCACUUCCCCACCUCUCAAGCCUGACCAUAGAUGUGGAAGAACUGGACGGGGAUGACAUUCAGAUCAUUGGGAUGCUGCCUGCUCUUCAGUAUCUGUCCCUGUCUGCAACUAACGCGAUUGGAAGCUUGGUUGUGAGGGCUGAUGCAUUCCCAUCUGCGAUAUCUUGCCGAUUCAACUUGUUUCGUACGCCAAUAUGUAUUCUACUUGGAGCUAUGCCAAUGGUUCAGCACCUUGAGUUCCCGGUCUGUGCGUGGUCGAUCGCGAGUGGUGAGGUUGACUCCGUCCUGGGGCACCUCCCUUCUCUCGAGCAUGUAGAGGUCAUGCUGAUUUAUGAGAACUUCAGCGGCAUGCAGAAAGCCAGGCGUGAAGUGAUAAAUACAGCCCAGGCUUGGCUGAGGUGCGAAGCAGAAGCCCAUCCAAAAUGUCCCACCAUUGUAUGCUGA
rnacentral:rRNA from 1 species